rnacentral:rRNA from 1 species
CCUACGGGUGGCAGCAGUGGGGAAUAUUGGACAAUGGGGGGAACCCUGAUCCAGCCAUGCCGCGUGUGUGAAGAAGGCCCUCGGGUUGUAAAGCACUUUCAGUGAGGAAGAACGCCUGGUGGUUAAUACCCAUCAGGAAAGACAUCACUCACAGAAGAAGCACCGGCUAACUCCGUGCCAGCAGCCGCGGUAAUACGGAGGGUGCGAGCGUUAAUCGGAAUUACUGGGCGUAAAGCGCGCGUAGGUGGCUUGAUAAGCCGGUUGUGAAAGCCCCGGGCUCAACCUGGGAACGGCAUCCGGAACUGUCAAGCUAGAGUGCAGGCGAGGAAGGUAGAAUUCCCGGUGUAGCGGUGAAAUGCGUAGAGAUCGGGAGGAAUACCAGUGGCGAAGGCGGCCUUCUGGACUGACACUGACACUGAGGUGCGAAAGCGUGGGUAGCAAACAGGAUUAGAUACCCUUGUAGUC